rnacentral:rRNA from 1 species
UACGAAGGGGGCUAGCGUUGUUCGGAAUUACUGGGCGUAAAGCGCACGUAGGCGGAUAUUUAAGUCAGAGGUGAAAUCCCGGAGCUCAACUUCGGAACUGCCUUUGAUACUGGCAAUCUAGAGUCCGGAAGAGGUUAGUGGAAUUCCCAGUGUAGAGGUGAAAUUCGUAGAUAUUGGGAAGAACACCAGUGGCGAAGGCGGCUCACUGGUCCGGUACUGACGCUGAGGUGCGAAAGCGUGGGAGCAAACAGG